UUUCCGUAGGUGAACCUGCGGAAGGAUCAUUAUCGAGUUUUGACUGGGUUGUAGCUGGCCUUCCGAGGCAUGUGCACGCCCGUCAAGAGAAAUUCAUUCAAAAACAACUUUUGGCAACGGAUCUCUUGGCUCUC
rnacentral:misc_RNA from 1 species